UGCAACCCUGCGCCUUCUUCUAAAAGAAACUCUCUCCAGCUGAACAGAACUAUGACAUCGGUAAUUGAGAACUUCUGGCUAUCAAACUGGCUCCAAAAGUGUGGUGGCACUAGUUGGUGGGGCAUCCGUUUAUGGUGAUCACCAUAAACAGAACCUCCAAUACCUUCGAGAAGCAAAACGGCUUAGAUGUGCUUUAUUCUUCACCUGCUUUCACUUCAUAAUCACCUAUCGUCUAGGCUAUAAGAAUGGAAAAGUGGAUGCCCUGUCCAGAAUUUAUGCCCCAACGACCCACGAACCCAGGAAAGAAGAUCUUUCCACCCAACCUCAUCCUCAGUCCCAUUGUGUGGAAUUUGUAAGAGGAGAUCCGAACAGCAACCACUGGAGAACCUGCCCCACCCGAAUGCUCUGAGGGGAAGACUAUUGUCCCAAGACUUACUGUCAACUCCUGUUAAGGUCUAUCCACAAGGCUCCAGGUUCAGGCCACUGCUGGUAGGAAGCAGAACCUUCUUAUGCUUCAAUCUCACUACUGGUGGCCUGGUAUGAUCGGGGACAUAGCUAAGACACCAUGCCACUUACCAGUGGGUAAGUGUUUUCCCCUACCGACCCCACAACAACCUUGGUCCUAUCUGGUAGCUGUGGAUUGCUUCUCCGAAGCCUGCAUAUUGGUUCCUUAUCCGAGGUCCCAGCUCUAGAAACCUCUGAGGCUAACGGCCAUACAGAGCGGAAGAUACAGGGGCUUGCACGCUACCGCUGAUCCUACUGCAAACAGGACCAGAAUAGUUGUAACCAGUUCCUCCCGUGGUCCGAGUACGCAAGCCACCAGCUUGAACUCAUUCCAGUGCGUGCUCGGCUUCCAACCACCACUGUUCCCCUGGAUGGAGGAACCUUCAACGGUGGAUCAUUGGUCCCAAGAGAGCGAGAAAGUUUGGGAGUCAGCACAUACCCAGCUCCAAAGAGCCCUCAGAACCACUAAGAAGUUCGCAGAUCCUUGAAGAUCGGAGGCACCUCCCUACCAACCAGGAGACAAGAGAACCCUGGAGCUACCAUCAAUCCGCCUCCCCCUGAAGUGCAGGACCAACCCUCCGUUUACUCCAUUCAAGAGACUCUGGACUCGUGGUGCCGGGACCCCACCCUAGAAUACCUCGUCUACUGGGAAGGGUUUGGACCAGAGGAGCGCUCCUGGGUCCCCAGACAAGACGUCCUGGACCCGGCACUCCUGGAGGAGUUUUACCUCAGUCACCCUAACCGCUCCGCACCCAGAGGUUGCGGGCAUCCCCAGACCCCGGGUUAAGGCGUUGUACUAUAUUUAAUGUAACCUUAGAUCACCCGGACUACCUACUGCUCCUGUGAUCUCGUGAGUUUCCUGUGCUGCUCACUUCGCUUUUUGUGAAGCAUGCUACAGCUACGUCCUACAGUCCCGUUUCCGAUUCUCCAGUGUUAUGUUUAAGAUCAAUAAACUACACCUGGUUUUACUCCAGAUUUCCGAUGUCUGGUGUAUCCGUGACGGUAUUAAGCUUGGAUUGAAACUAAUAUAAGCAAUGUUAUAUGUUAUCUGAAGCAUAUUUCUAAAUGAUAUUAUAUAUUAUAUUUUAUAUGAACUUUAUGCACCCUAUUAUGCACGAUGAGUCCAGAUGUCAUGUGGUCUCUGUUUUUUCCGCAUAGCUGGUGUUUCACCACAUAGGCAGUAGAUGUGUAUCAAUAUCUUGUCUGAUAUUUAAUGACAUGUUCUAAUAUGUUCCAUACAUGACUAAAUUUUGCACAGU